CACGUAGGGCGCAAGCGUUGUCCGGAAUUAUUGGGCGUAAAGCGCACGCAGGCGGUCUGCUAAGUUUGGAGUGACAGUUGGUGGCUUAACUGCCAAAGUGCUUCGAAAACUGACAGACUUGAGGGCUUCAGAGGGACACGGAAUUCCGGGUGGAGUGGUGAAAUGCGUAGAGAUCCGGAGGAACACCAAAGGCGAAGGCAGUGUCCUGGGGAGUACCUGACGCUCAGGUGCGAAAGCCAGGGGAGCGAACGGG
rnacentral:rRNA from 1 species